rnacentral:snRNA from 1 species
UAUGACGACUUAAUCUUUUGCCUUUUACUAAAGAUUACCGUA